AGCUUUCUCAAUCCGUGCACAGAUCUCGUCGGAAACCAACCCACUACGGCUGAUCGAACUUCCAAGAUGAGUGAAGUU
rnacentral:pre_miRNA from 1 species